rnacentral:rRNA from 1 species
GACGAACCGAGCGAACGUUGUUCGGAAUCACUGGGCUUAAAGGGCGCGUAGGCGGGCUGUCAAGUCUGGGGUGAAAUCCCGCGGCUCAACCGUGGAACUUCCUUAGAUACUGACGGCCUCGAGGGAGAUAGGGGCGAGCGGAACUGUGAGUGGAGCGGUGAAAUGCGUUGAUAUUCACAGGAACUCCGGUGGCGAAGGCGGCUCGCUGGAUCUCUUCUGACGCUGAGGCGCGAAAGCUAGGGGAGCAAACAGG